CGGGCAGAGGAUUCGCCCCGCCACGUCGGCAAUGAGGGGUUUCGCAUCUUCGGCGAAAGAGGUAAUCUGACGCCUACCAUCAUCUAAUCUUUGGCAUUUAUAAUCCAUGCGAUUGCUUAACAAAAAAUUUAUGUUUUUUGCUUUUUCAGAAGAUUAAUUUUUGUGUAAAAUAUAAAUCUUAUAAACAUUCUACCCAUUGUUUAGUUUAACGAAUUUUGUAGUGUUAGUUCUGCACCAUUCCAAUUUGCCUUUGAUUGGAUAAAUAAUAGCCUUGUUUAGCUAAUUUGCAAAUUUCCUCAUAUUCCUAAGUUGGCAUUUUUAGUCAAAAAUUUUAGAUUUUACAGAUUUUUCCAGUUCAUGAUGAUAAAAAUUUAGGGCUUUGAUUUAUUGAUGUGAUUUCCACGUACUCUGAAUUCAAAUAGAAAUGCAAGGAUAUAUUAGAUGUGUGAGUAAAUUUCCAGUCUUCAUAUAUUUGUUUAACCCUUAACGAUAUGUGAAUUAUUGAUUGAUAAUUGAUAAUAUGUAUGCUAUUAUUUAUUAAGAAGAAUUAGUUCGUUAAUUUGUUGGGCUUGGUUGUUUUCGCAUGUUGAUGUUAUAAAGCUCCUCUUUAUAGUUAGGUUGAAGAUCAUGUGAAUAGAUUUUUUUUUGGUUGGUUUAUAUCGGGCGAUUCCGGAGGCCUUGCCAUCGAGGACAAAGAUAGCAAGGUUCUAAAUCAAAUUUUUAUCCUGGUUCUACUGCUGGGUUCACUAUCAAUAAAAGGCACAUGAAAUAUGGUAUUGAUUUUAGAGCCUUUGAUUUCUCAAAUUGUCUUUAUACAUCGAAUGUCAUCUGAAUUUAGUUGUAGUUAUUUUGUCAAAGUUUGUUAUUGUUUAGCUUUUUCAAAUGGCAGCCUUGGUAUUUGCCCGGUAUUUUUUGUGAAUUCCAAACUUUGCUUAUAAUUGUAGGUACGUAAAAGUUGCCAAUUGGAUUUGUUCCCCAGAUGAUAAUGGCAUACCUAUAUAAUGGUUGUUCUUUUGCUUUGAUGUAGAAGUAAGAAAAUUGUUUUGCCUCUUAUGUAUCCUGCUUCUUUCUGUCCGUGUGUUCUUUGUUCAAAGGUUGGUUGGUUGUUAAACUUGCUGCUGUAGAAGAGUUAAUUUCUGGUAGGCAGAUGAUUAUAGUGUUGUUCCUAUUAUGCAUAAGGUCGUGGUAAUAAUAUUGUGAGAUUUUGGGU